GUCCUGGCCCUAAACGAUGUCCACUAGAUCGCAGAACCUCUGACGGUUUUGCGGUCGAAGCAAAAGUGUUAAGUGGACAGCCUGGGAAGUACGGUCGCAAGGCUAAAACUCAAAGGAAUUGACGGGGGCUCACACAAGCGGUGGAGCAUGUGGUUCAAUUCGAAGCAACGCGCAGAACCUUACCUGGGCUUGACAUGCUAGGAUUAUCCCUAUGAAAGUAGGGUAGGCCCGCAAGGGUACAACUAGUACAGGUGCUGCAUGGCUGUAGU
rnacentral:rRNA from 1 species